GGGCUUACUGUGGCAGCACAUAUACUAAAAUCAGAACAAUACAGAGAAGAUUAGCACGGCCCCUGGGCAAAGAUGACAUGCAAAUUCAUGAAGUCUUCCAUAUUUUU
ensembl:snRNA U6 U6 spliceosomal RNA